GGGUUGUGAGGUUAAGCGACUAAGCGUACACGGUGGAUGCCCUGGCAGUCAGAGGCGAUGAAGGACGUGCUAAUCUGCGAUAAGCGUCGGUAAGGUGAUAUGAACCGUUAUAACCGGCGAUUUCCGAAUGGGGAAACCCAGUGUGUUUCGACACACUAUCAUUAACUGAAUCCAUAGGUUAAUGAGGCGAACCGGGGGAACUGAAACAUCUAAGUACCCCGAGGAAAAGAAAUCAACCGAGAUUCCCCCAGUAGCGGCGAGCGAACGGGGAGCAGCCCAGAGCCUGAAUCAGUGUGUGUGUUAGUGGAAGCGUCUGGAAAGGCGCGCGAUACAGGGUGACAGCCCCGUACACAAAAAUGCACAUACUGUGAGCUCGAUGAGUAGGGCGGGACACGUGGUAUCCUGUCUGAAUAUGGGGGGACCAUCCUCCAAGGCUAAAUACUCCUGACUGACCGAUAGUGAACCAGUACCGUGAGGGAAAGGCGAAAAGAACCCCGGCGAGGGGAGUGAAAAAGAACCUGAAACCGUGUACGUACAAGCAGUGGGAGCCUCUUAAUGGGGUGACUGCGUACCUUUUGUAUAAUGGGUCAGCGACUUAUAUUCUGUAGCAAGGUUAACCGAAUAGGGGAGCCGAAGGGAAACCGAGUCUUAACUGGGCGUUAAGUUGCAGGGUAUAGACCCGAAACCCGGUGAUCUAGCCAUGGGCAGGUUGAAGGUUGGGUAACACUAACUGGAGGACCGAACCGACUAAUGUUGAAAAAUUAGCGGAUGACUUGUGGCUGGGGGUGAAAGGCCAAUCAAACCGGGAGAUAGCUGGUUCUCCCCGAAAGCUAUUUAGGUAGCGCCUCGUGAAUUCAUCUCCGGGGGUAGAGCACUGUUUCGGCAAGGGGGUCAUCCCGACUUACCAACCCGAUGCAAACUGCGAAUACCGGAGAAUGUUAUCACGGGAGACACACGGCGGGUGCUAACGUCCGUCGUGAAGAGGGAAACAACCCAGACCGCCAGCUAAGGUCCCAAAGUCAUGGUUAAGUGGGAAACGAUGUGGGAAGGCCCAGACAGCCAGGAUGUUGGCUUAGAAGCAGCCAUCAUUUAAAGAAAGCGUAAUAGCUCACUGGUCGAGUCGGCCUGCGCGGAAGAUGUAACGGGGCUAAACCAUGCACCGAAGCUGCGGCAGCGACACUAUGUGUUGUUGGGUAGGGGAGCGUUCUGUAAGCCUGCGAAGGUGUACUGUGAGGUAUGCUGGAGGUAUCAGAAGUGCGAAUGCUGACAUAAGUAACGAUAAAGCGGGUGAAAAGCCCGCUCGCCGGAAGACCAAGGGUUCCUGUCCAACGUUAAUCGGGGCAGGGUGAGUCGACCCCUAAGGCGAGGCCGAAAGGCGUAGUCGAUGGGAAACAGGUUAAUAUUCCUGUACUUGGUGUUACUGCGAAGGGGGGACGGAGAAGGCUAUGUUGGCCGGGCGACGGUUGUCCCGGUUUAAGCGUGUAGGCUGGUUUUCCAGGCAAAUCCGGAAAAUCAAGGCUGAGGCGUGAUGACGAGGCACUACGGUGCUGAAGCAACAAAUGCCCUGCUUCCAGGAAAAGCCUCUAAGCAUCAGGUAACAUCAAAUCGUACCCCAAACCGACACAGGUGGUCAGGUAGAGAAUACCAAGGCGCUUGAGAGAACUCGGGUGAAGGAACUAGGCAAAAUGGUGCCGUAACUUCGGGAGAAGGCACGCUGAUAUGUAGGUGAAGUCCCUUGCGGAUGGAGCUGAAAUCAGUCGAAGAUACCAGCUGGCUGCAACUGUUUAUUAAAAACACAGCACUGUGCAAACACGAAAGUGGACGUAUACGGUGUGACGCCUGCCCGGUGCCGGAAGGUUAAUUGAUGGGGUUAGCGGUAACGCGAAGCUCUUGAUCGAAGCCCCGGUAAACGGCGGCCGUAACUAUAACGGUCCUAAGGUAGCGAAAUUCCUUGUCGGGUAAGUUCCGACCUGCACGAAUGGCGUAAUGAUGGCCAGGCUGUCUCCACCCGAGACUCAGUGAAAUUGAACUCGCUGUGAAGAUGCAGUGUACCCGCGGCAAGACGGAAAGACCCCGUGAACCUUUACUAUAGCUUGACACUGAACAUUGAGCCUUGAUGUGUAGGAUAGGUGGGAGGCUUUGAAGUGUGGACGCCAGUCUGCAUGGAGCCGGCCUUGAAAUACCACCCUUUAAUGUUUGAUGUUCUAACGUUGGCCCCUGAUCGGGGUUGCGGACAGUGUCUGGUGGGUAGUUUGACUGGGGCGGUCUCCUCCUAAAGAGUAACGGAGGAGCACGAAGGUUGGCUAAUCCUGGUCGGACAUCAGGAGGUUAGUGCAAUGGCAUAAGCCAGCUUGACUGCGAGCGUGACGGCGCGAGCAGGUGCGAAAGCAGGUCAUAGUGAUCCGGUGGUUCUGAAUGGAAGGGCCAUCGCUCAACGGAUAAAAGGUACUCCGGGGAUAACAGGCUGAUACCGCCCAAGAGUUCAUAUCGACGGCGGUGUUUGGCACCUCGAUGUCGGCUCAUCACAUCCUGGGGCUGAAGUAGGUCCCAAGGGUAUGGCUGUUCGCCAUUUAAAGUGGUACGCGAGCUGGGUUUAGAACGUCGUGAGACAGUUCGGUCCCUAUCUGCCGUGGGCGCUGGAGAACUGAGGGGGGCUGCUCCUAGUACGAGAGGACCGGAGUGGACGCAUCACUGGUGUUCGGGUUGUCAUGCCAAUGGCACUGCCCGGUAGCUAAAUGCGGAAGAGAUAAGUGCUGAAAGCAUCUAAGCACGAAACUUGCCCCGAGAUGAGUUCUCCCUGACUCUUUAAGGGUCCUGAAGGAACGUUGAAGACGACGACGUUGAUAGGCCGGGUGUGUAAGCGCAGCGAUGCGUUGAGCUAACCGGUACUAAUGAACCGUGAGGCUUAACCUUACAACGCCGAAG
rnacentral:rRNA from 1 species